UAACCCUCUUUCUCUCACCGCUGUUGAUCAUCUCCUCUCUGUCCUCGAUCCGCUUCUCUCAUGGGGCCAUAGACGCACACUGCGACACUGGUCCCUGGUCUCAACUUCACCUGCCUCCGUCUCCAUGGACGGAUCGAAGGAAAUGUCAACGAGCUCUGUGCUCAACUCGAGAAAUCUAGGCCGAUAAAAGUUGAAUCUGGAAAUUCCAACAAGAAGAAGAGAAGAUCUGAUUACGAUUCGCCCCAUGCUGCUCCUGUACGAAGAAGGUACAUUGAUAUGAACGAUGAUACUGACGGAGGAGAAGACCGAAUUGGGGUGUUCAGGAGAAAGCUAUCUGAUGAUUUUGAUAGAAUCGUUGGAGAGAUGACAACCAAAGCCAAUAAGAAAUCAAUUAAAUCUGGUUUACUGCUAACAUCUAAUUUUUGAACGUUUUGUUUAUUCAGAUUUAUAGCUCUAUGAGAUUUUCUACGAACAUAGAAAGUGAACAGGAACACAAGAUUUGGGAUCAGUGGAGAAUCUUCAGAUCUUUGUAAGCUAUUAUUGAAUGGAAAGAUGUGCUGCAGUGGACACUGUUUCUCUUGUGGCUCGAAUACUGCAUAAAUCAAAGGCUCUUCUUCAAUCCAUGCUUAUGUCAAGAAAUGGCUCUUUGGUUGAAGACUUCUUUGGUCAACUGGUUGGUUCCGUACCUGAUCUGACAGAGCACUUACACAUGAGAACUGCGAGGAUCCUGCGGCAUGUUAAUGGGUAAAUUGCCAAUCUACUUAAGAAAUUUAUUAGAUGUCUGUGACAAAAAAAAAGUUAUUAGAUGGAUUCAAUCUCUAUCCUCCCUUUUGUGCCUUUUAUUCUUAUUCUUACUGGCCUCUGGAUUUAAAAAAAAACUGUUAUAUAACUUUUUAACUCAAUCGCUAUGUUAAAGUCAAGCCUUGGUUUUGUAUGAUAUAUGUUCUCAUUGGAGUAUGUCGACCGGAUUGCUAACUGAUAGAGAGCGGAAGCCGUAUGAGUCAAAGAUCUAGGGUUUGAUCUCGAACUCGCGUAACUUGUGAACGAAGGUAUCUUCGAAGACAAGAUGAAGGAUGCGAAUACUCUUCGCAGUGCUUGUUAAAAGCUCUUAGGGGCGCGAAUACUCUUCGCAGUGCUUGUGAAAGCUCUUUAAAAUAAACUCAGAAAUCUUAUUCAAUUAAUCGUGUCUCUUUUUCAAAGACUAAAGCCGCUAUUUAUAAGGCUGAUAUAGUUAAAACCCUAAGCUAUAAAGGAAAGUUUAUAAUUAGCUAAUCCUAGUAAUAAAAGGAAACUUAGAACACACGUAAAGCCCAAAAGAAGAAAGGCCACGAUACUGGCGGUGAAAGAGAUAAUGCGC